rnacentral:tRNA from 1 species
GGGGGCAUAGCUCAGGAGUAGAGCGCUCGCUUCGCAUGCGAGAAGUCCGGGGUUCAAUUCCCCGUGCCUCCA